CUGUGUUCUUCCUACUGUCCUCAUGUGCCAGCACUGGAGGCUGUGCUGGAGCAGGAGCCAGGGAGAGCUCUCCCCAUCCUUGUCUUCCUUCAUCUUGUCCCUGAGGCCAAGCUGGUGGCUGGUCUAGAAGGGGCCACCAUUUGAAAGGACUGGAGCUCUUAAGACUGCAGUCAGGUGGGAUAUUUGGAGCAGGUUAACCCAGGCAGGCUUCACCGUGGGACCACUGACCAUGUAUUAUCCAUCUCCUCUCCCUCCUCGGGAUGUUUUUAUUACUGAGGAAUUUGCACAAAUAUUUUGUGGUGCAUUAGUGCCAGACUAGUGGUCCUUUCUGAGGAAAGUCAGUUUGAUUGUAUGAACAGAUUUAACCGGACGGAUCAGCCAAGCAAGGUGAACAGGCUCUUGGUCAGCAUGUUUCUCAUAUUGCUUUGGUUCAGCUCAAAGUCCUGAAUACAAUGACUCACAGAAAAGGAGGAAACAAACCCAACUUUGCAACUGACUACCCUCUCAGCGUGGGGACUGUCUGGAGAUAAGCUGAAGGCAAGAAUACUCUUUAUUUUAUCUUCACUUGCUCGUUCCACCAUCAUAAAAGCAGGAUCAGAGCAAAAAAACAAGUCUAUUUUUUUUUCUUCCAUCACUGCUUAUUUCCUUCCUGAAGCGAUAAUCCUUGGAGCCAUCACAACUGGUUGCUAUGGGAGUGACUGUAAGCACAAAGAAAGGAUUAUGGUUUCAGGUGAGAAAACAGUGAUGGACACGGACAAGCUCCCAAAAUCCAGUUCUGCUCUGAAGAGCAACACUGCAGAGAGGCAUUAGAAGACUCCUUUUUUUAUUUGCCUUAUUCAUGUGUUGGCUUCAGAUCCACAACAGCAAAAUGGCGUGUUAGAGCUAAAGAAGUCACACAUAAAUAAAUGGGGAGAAGGUUAGAAGGGCUGAGGGGACAGCUCUGUGGGGUUGCCCUCAGAAAUGCAAAAGCCCCUGGAAAUCUGGGUUCCUUUCUUCUGCACUCAGAUCUCCCCAGAAUGGGAUCGGUCAGAAAGUCCUUCAGUCUGGGGGCCAAAGCUGGAUUUGGGUUGUUCUGCAUAUUCCUGCAAUGAUUCAAUGACAGAUAUCCAGUGACAUGUCCUUUUGUCACCAAAAGAAAGAUCUAAAAAAUAGUGAGAUAAACCAAACAGAGGUGGCUUUAUUGAAGCAGGACAUUUUAUGCCACGAAGAGAUGUAUCUGAAGAAAGAUCUGCAAAGGGUGCUUAUGGAAAGGCAGGGGGAUGUCCUUUCCAAAGCCAAAAGCAAAGCAGCAACCCCAGAGCCCAGGGCUGUGGCAGCUGGGGUGUUGUGGACAGAAACAGCAGGCAACAAAGGCAAGCUUGGCCAAAUACAGACCUCCAUUUCUUUCCUUUUAGCUCACCUUCCUCAAGCCCCACCAGGGUACUGCUACGAGUUAGGGUAGUUUGAUGGAGGGAGCGCAGGCUCAACAAGCAUUUGUGCAUAGUCCUGCCCAGCAAACAUCUCCCUCCACAACUUUUUCUCCCAUUGCUCCAGUACCUGAAAACCAAAGUGGCACUUUGCUCAAGAAGGAGUGUGGGUGGCAGGGCCAAAGUAGAUGAAGCCCUGUCUGUGCUCUCAUCAUGUGCAGCUAAACCCAGGUCUGGGGGUUAAAGCCCCAGAGAUUAUGGUAAGGAUGCUUUACAAGAACUCACGUCAUCCUUCCUCGUCCCUACAGCUUUGGACAGGGUCGGUAACAGUGUACUUGUGUCUAGAUGCAGAAUAAAGCAUGCUUUGGCUAGAUAGGGUCUGAAAAUAUAUUAAAGAAAAAAAAAGCCUCUUUGCUGGCACAGCUCUGGGAAACUGUGCUAGAAAUAACUGUGCUUAUGCAUAGCUGUCAAAAACAGGCUGUUGCUGGUGCCGUUUGAAUGGGAGUGCAGCCAGAACCUUGCUGCCCGUCGGGAGGAACGGGCCAUGUCAGAGGUUUGCUUUUGUCUCGAGACUGAGUUUAUGUAGAUCAAAGGCCAGGAAGGUGUUUUUGCUCUGCACAGGGGAAUUUCCCCACAUGGCAUGUCAGGAGGAUCACAUCCCCACCAGCUCCGGCCUUGGCUGUGUGAGGGGCCAAGGCAGGAGGACACCAAACCCCCACUGCCUUGAACUAGAGCAGAAGAUGUAACCCCAGAUGAGCCCUGGGGGGACAUUUGGCAGCAAACUCCUAAGUGGAUUUUUCCACUUAAACAAACUGCUCUUAAUUAAACCAGACAAUUUUAGGAACUCUCAGAGGCUGGCUGGCAGUUUUCUUUGGCCAGGAGCAGUAGGGCUAUCUAGUGAAAUACCCAGGCAGAAAAAGCAGCUACAGGGUCCUAUGUGGUCGUUCAAAAGGAAAAAAAACCAAUCCAAAGCAGCAUUGUAGAUAUUUGAGUCACGACAUGGUUAAUUGCACAGACCCAAUAAAAUAGUUAAUUAACACCACAGUUGUGAAAUAUAUAAUAAAAAAAAGAAUGUAUGACAUCAGUGUAAUUGUAGGAAAGCAAAGGCUGCUAGCCGAUAACUGUUCAUACAUCAAGUUUUAGGCUAAAAGGCAGACCUGUUUCAUCUUCUGGGCACUGUAAAAAGCCCUGUUUUCUCCCAAGAGAGAGCAAAGAUGGCUGUGAUUGAAUCCCAGGGUACUGGCUGUUCCCAAUUUUCCAGCCCUGACACAGUCGUGACAAGGAAUUAAAUAUUGCAUUCAUCACGCCUGCUCUCCAGGCAUGAUCCCCAAAUAAUUAAUCCUUUUAGCUAGCAGGAGCUGCCAUCUGGCUAGUUUCCAAUCAACCUGACUGGUUUUACUACAGAGCUGCCAGUUCCCGCACUCAUGCGGGCAUGUACGGUAGCUGCUUGCCUCAGGUGCCUGGGAUUUCUUUGUAUUUUAAAAAUGGUGAGCUUCAGAUAUGCCAUGUGCUGCCCAAACACAGAUAAAAUACCAGCCUUUGUCUCAAGGAGCUUACUGUCCAGCAGGAAAAGGAGCGGGAGCUGUACAUCAUACAUAGAGAAAGACUCAAACUGACUUUUUCUGUUUGCUUGUUUUGUGUUUAAAGACUUACUCUGAAUAAAAGGCCCAGAUUAAAAUCCA